UACAGAGGUGGCAAGCGUUGUUCGGAAUUACUGGGCGUAAAGGGCGCGUAGGCGGCCUUCUAAGUCAGACGUGAAAUCCCCCGGCUUAACCUGGGAACUGCGUCUGAUACUGGGAGGCUUGAGUGCGGGAGAGGGAUGCGGAAUUCCAGGUGUAGCGGUGAAAUGCGUAGAUAUCUGGAGGAACACCGGUGGCGAAGGCGGCAUCCUGGACCGGCAUUGACGCUGAGGCGCGAAAGCCAGGGGAGCAAACGGG
rnacentral:rRNA from 1 species